CCUACGGGAGGCAGCAGUGGGGAAUAUUGGUCAAUGGGCGCAAGCCUGACCCAGCAACGCCGCGUGAAGGAAGAAGGCUCUUUGGUCGUAAAGUUCUGUUCUGAGGGAAGUAGAAAGUGACGGUACCUCAGGAGAAAGCGCCGGAUAACUACGUGCCAGCAGCCGCGGUAAUACGUAGGAGGCAAUCGUUGUCCGGAAUUAUUGGGCGUAAAGAGUACGUAGGCGGUCUGUUAAGCGCAAGGUGAAAGUAAUAGGCUCAACCAAGGUGAGCCUUGGCAACUGGCAGACUUUAGUGCAGGAGAGGAAAGCGGAAUUCGUAGUGUAGCGGUGAAAUGCGUAGAUAUUAGGAGGAACACCGGUGGCGAAGGCGGCUUUCUGGACUGCAACUGACGCUGAGGUACGAAAGCGUGGGGAGCAAACAGGAUUAGAUACCCCGGUAGUC
rnacentral:rRNA from 1 species